rnacentral:rRNA from 1 species
AGAGUUUGAUCCUGGCUCAGAACGAACGUUGGCGGCGUGGAUUAGGCAUGCAAGUCGAACGAAGCAGCGGGGCAACUCGCUGACUGAGUGGCGAAAGGGGCAGUAAGGCGUGGGUAACCUACCCUCCGGGCCGGGAUAGCUUCGGGAAACUGAAGGUAAUACCGGGCGACGCAGCGGGAUCGCAUGGUUCUGCUGCCAAAGGUCCGCCGCCGGGGGAGGGGCUCACGUGAUAUUAGCUUGUUGGCGGGGUAACGGCCCACCAAGGCAAAGAUGUCUAGCAGGUGUGAGAGCACGACCUGCGCCACUGGCACUGAGACACUGGCCAGACACCUACGGGUGGCUGCAGUCGAGGAUCUUCGGCAAUGGGCGCAAGCCUGACCGAGCGACGCCGCGUGUGCGAUGAAGGCCUUCGGGUUGUAAAGCACUGUCGAGGGGGAGGAAGCCGCAAGGUUGACCUAUCCCUGGAGGAAGCACGGGCUAAGUUCGUGCCAGCAGCCGCGGUAAGACGAACCGUGCGAACGUUGUUCGGAAUCACUGGGCUUAAAGGGCGCGUAGGCGGACCACCAAGUCCGGGGUGAAAUCCUCCGGCUUAACCGGAGAAUUGCCUGGGAUACUGGUGGUCUUGAGGGAGGUAGGGGCACGCGGAACUUCCGGUGGAGCGGUGAAAUGCGUUGAUAUCGGAAGGAACGCCGGUGGCGAAAGCGGCGUGCUGGCCCUCUUCUGACGCUAAGGCGCGAAAGCCAGGGGAGCGAACGGGAUUAGAUACCCCGGUAGUCCUGGCCCUAAACGAUGGGUACUAG